GACUCGUUAGUCGAACAGACGUUAAGUUGCAGCCUUAAAAAUGCAUAAUAAAUUAUUGCACGGGUUU
rnacentral:tRNA from 1 species